CCCCCUCGGGGUGCGGCCCACGACUCUAAACAAUGGGGCGGCAUGAAAUCGCAAGUCGGCCUGGCCGGCGACACCCCCAAAGUGCGGGGACCCCCCCCGGUGUGCAUCCAGGGGCGAUCCGCAGCCGGCGGCACGAGCCGCCGGUCCACAGACUAGGUGGGGGUGGGUGGGGCCUCGAGGCCCCGCCUGAAAGAUAGUCGGGCCCCCCUCGCGCAGGGGGGUGUCCACCGUUCCGUAGGUGAACCUGCGGAAGGAUCAUUACCGAGCGAGGGCUCCGGUCCGACCUCCCAGCCCUUGUCUACCCACGCGCGUUGCUUCGGCGGCCGCGGGCCCCCACGGGCACGCCCGCCAGAGGACCGUCUCGAAACGCUAUAAUCAUGGGGCUCUGAGUGAUUGACCCAACACUAAAACUUUCAACAACGGAUCUCUUGGCUCUGGUGUCGAUGAAGAACGCAGCGAAAUGCGAUAAGUAGUACGAAUUGCAGAAUUCAGCGAAUGAUCGAAUCUUUGAACGCACAUUGCGCCCCCUGGCAUCCCGGGGGGCACGCCUGUCCGAGCGUCAUUGCGCCCCUCAAGCCUGGCUUGGUAUCUGGGCCGCGCCCCUCGCGGGGCGGGCCUCAAACCCCUGGGCGGUGCCGCCCCCGCCCGGCGUGACCAGGAGCACCCCUCCACACGCCGGCGCGGGCGGUGCCCGCCGCGAAUGACCCUCCAGUUUGACCUCGGAUCAGGCGGGGAUACCCGCUGAACUUAA
rnacentral:misc_RNA from 1 species